GUGCUCACUUUGGCAACACAUAUUCUAAAAUUGGAAUGAUACAGAGAUUAGCAUGGCCCCUGGGCAAGGAUGACACGCAAAUUUGUGAAGCAUUCCAUAUUAAA